rnacentral:rRNA from 1 species
AUUCCAGCUCCAAUAGCGUAUAUUAAAGUUGUUGCGGUUAAAAGUUCGUAGUUGGAUUUCUGUCGGAGACCUCCGGUCCGCACUAUGUGCGUGUAUCUGUAGGGUUCUGGCAUCCUUCCGAAAGACGUCGCUAUGCUUAACUGCACGGUGCGGAGUUCGGAACUUUUACUUUGAGGAAAUUAGAGUGUUCACGGCAGGCCAACGCCUUGAAUAUAUUAGCAUGGAAUAAUAAUAUAGGAUUUCGGUUCUAUUUUGUUGGUUUCUAGGGCUGAAAUAAUGAUUAAUAGGACAAUUGGGGGCAUUCGUAUUAAGGCGUCAGAGGUGGAAUUCUUAGAUUGCCUUACGACGAACUACUGCGAAAGCAUUUGCCAAGGAUGUUUUCAUCA